rnacentral:rRNA from 1 species
CCUACGGGAGGCAGCAGUGGGGAAUAUUGCGCAAUGGGCGAAAGCCUGACGCAGCGACGCCGCGUGAGUGAUGAAGGCCUUCGGGUUGUAAAGCUCUGUCAGAGUGGAAGAAAUGCAGGUGGUGAACAACCAUUCUGUUUGACGGUACCCUCAAAGGAAGCACCGGCUAACUCCGUGCCAGCAGCCGCGGUAAUACGGAGGGUGCGAGCGUUGUUCGGAAUUAUUGGGCGUAAAGCGCGUGUAGGCGGUUUGUUAAGUCUGAUGUGAAAGCCCCGGGCUCAAACUGGGAAGUGCAUUGGAUACUGGCAGACGUGAGUACGUGAGAGGAGAGUGGAAUUCCCAGUGUAGGAGUGAAAUCCGUAGAUAUUGGGAGGAACACCGGUGGCGAAGGCGGC